UGAGGAAUAUUGGGUCAAUGGGCGCAGGCCUGAACCAGCCAAGUCGCGUGAGGGAUGACGGUCCUACGGAUUGUAAACCUCUUUUGUCGGGGAGUAACGUGCGGGACGCGUCCCGUAUUGAGAGUACCCGAAGAAAAAGCAUCGGCUAACUCCGUGCCAGCAGCCGCGGUAAUACGGAGGAUGCGAGCGUUAUCCGGAUUUAUUGGGUUUAAAGGGUGCGCAGGCGGCGCGCCAAGUCAGCGGUCAAAGUUCCGGGCUCAACCCGGUGUCGCCGUUGAAACUGGCGUGCUCGAGUGCGUGCGAGGAAGGCGGAAUGCGUUGUGUAGCGGUGAAAUGCAUAGAUAUCACGCAGAACCCCGAUCGCGAAGGCAGCCUGCCAGGCCGUGACUGACACUGAUGCACGAAAGCGUGGGUAUCGAACAGGAUUAGAUACCCUGGUAGU
rnacentral:rRNA from 1 species